rnacentral:rRNA from 1 species
UACGGAGGGUGCAAGCGUUAUCCGGAUUCACUGGGCUUAAAGGGUGCGUAGGCGGGCAGGUAAGUCCGUGGUGAAAUCUCCGAGCUUAACUCGGAAACUGCCAUGGAUACUAUUUGUCUUGAAUGUUGUGGAGGUGAGCGGAAUAUGUCAUGUAGCGGUGAAAUGCUUAGAUAUGACAUAGAACACCAAUUGCGAAGGCAGCUCACUACACAAAUAUUGACGCUGAGGCACGAAAGCGUGGGGAUCAAACAGG